rnacentral:rRNA from 1 species
UACGGAGGGUGCAAGCGUUAUCCGGAUUCACUGGGCUUAAAGGGUGCGUAGGUGGGCAGGUAAGUCAGUGGUGAAAUCUCCGGGCUUAACUCGGAAACUGCCAUUGAUACUAUCUGUCUUGAAUACCGUGGAGGUUAGCGGAAUAUGUCAUGUAGCGGUGAAAUGCUUAGAUAUGACAUAGAACACCAAUUGCGAAGGCAGCUGGCUACACGAAUAUUGACACUGAUGCACGAAAGCGUGGGGAUCAAACAGG